CCUUCAAUGAGAAAUCAGUAUUAUUCAAGAAUAAAUUCCCAAAGCAGAUUGCCUGAGACAUUUCUGUUGUAGUUUAAGAAGUAAAAUCCAAAUUCCUAUAGAAAGUGAACUACCCUAACCUUGUAUAAUAUUGCCAUUAAUUUCCUGUGACCUUGGGAUAGUUUGCAUAAACAUUUAGAUCUUGUCAACUUCCAUUAUUCAGUUGUGUUAACUACAAGGCUAGGUGUUAUAAUUUUUUUUUCUCUCAUAGUGAAAACUUGGAAGAGCUUCAGUUUUUAAGGCAAAGAUGAUUAAUAUCAUCUGAGGAAAAGGCAUUUGUGUGUAGCCAGCAUGGUUCAUUGAUAGCAUCUCCCCUGAAUGGUGAGUGACAAAAAACAUGACCACCAUUUGAGACGGGGGGUGAGGCAGGUAGGUAGGAAAAGGAGGAACUGGCAGGCUAACAUAAGAUUCCUACUUGUCUCAACAGCUGGUUUCUACUUUGUGCCUAACAAAAAGAAUCCUAUGGCUCACUGGCUACACAGCUGCAAUUGGUAACGAAGUAAUACAAUAGGUGAAACUGGCUCGUAAAGAACAGAAAUAAGGUAUUUAAAAAGUAUUUGAGCCGAUGUUUAAAAAUCAGGAAAUUUCACAAAAAAUCCAAAUUUUAGCUCCACUUGACAAAUCUGGCAACAUCAAGCCCACAUUUCAAUAUGGCAAAAUUUGGCUAGCUGGGAAGUGAUGCUUCACUUAGGUAAGCACAUGCUCUGGAAUUCUCCAGUCCUUCCUACUGCCUAUUGUUUCCUCUUACUACUUGCCCAUCCAUUGUACUCAUUUGACUUUGCAACUACAGUAAAACAGAGCCACUAUGAACAUAUGCCAAGCUAAUUUUAUUAAUAGGCAUUGAAAUACAAAAAUACAAUCUCUGGGAACUGAAGUAGUAGUCAGGAGCAAUCAUGGCCAUGGACUGUAAAGGAUACUUUAUGUAAAGAAUAUUUUUCUUCUGUGAAUAUUUAUUAAGUUGGGUUCCUUAAAGUAAAUCCAACCUACCUACUGUGGGGGUUCUGAGUAGGGGGUGGUGACAAUGGUAGAAUAACAAAAUUUUUAUCUUUUGUCUUAUCCAAGACUUGUGGUUAACUGAUAGGUGAAUUUUCAAAAACAUACUAGAUUUCUGAAUGUAAAUAUAAGAAAAAGGUGAAAAGGGGAGCCUAGAAAGAAUGCAUUUUUCAGCAAACAUAAAGUAGUAAUACUCACUCAAGCAACUGCCCACAUGCUAGCAGAAUGCUUAAUUUGGAUUGAUAAUGUUUAUCUGGAGAUGCCAAGUAACAUCAUAUGUCAUAUAUCGGAGACUACAGUAGAUUCUACUGUUUUGCUAUCUGGCAUCUGCUGGUAGAAAAAUGUUCCAACAUGUUCGAUUUAGCUAAUUAAUUCAAGCUCAUGUGAAUAAAAUGUGUGGUGUCUAGCUUCUGAAAUGUGCCUAGGCCUAAGAACGGGAAUUCUUCUUGGGUGAACUUGGGGAUGAUGCCACUGGCUCUGGGAAAAUCCAGUAGCAGACACUACUAUUAAGUUAGUAAUGAUACAUCCUACUCAUAUAAAAUGUCUUUUUCUAAUAACCCUUCCUAUUUCAAAAUUCAAUACUAGACAGUGGUCCUAAAAAUGUUAGCUAUUAACCUUUUAAAAAAGUAUUUGCUCACACCUGAGAUAUUUAGUUAGCUAUUUCAACAGUGUGCAAGGAAAGAGAAAAGUUGUUUGAUACUCUACAGAGUGCUUCUCAAAGCCCAGUUCCCAAAUCAUCUGCAUCAAAACUCCCUGUACAAUUAUUAAAAAUACAGAUUUUUCUGGAGCUCUCCAGAAAUCAGAAUUGCUGAAUCAGAAUACUUUUUCUUUCUUUUUUUUUUAAGACAGGAUCUCACUCUGUUGCUCAGGUUAGAGUGCAGUCAUGUGAUCAUGGCUCACCACAGCCUUGACCUUCUGGGCUCAAGUGAUCCUCCAGCCUCAGCCUCCCAAGUAGCUGUGACUACAGGCACAUGCCACCCUGCCCGGCUAAUAUUUUGUAUUUUUUGAGACAGGGUGGUCUCAAACUCCUGGGCUCAAGUGAUCUGCCCACCUGAGCUUCCCAAAUUGUUAGGAUUACAGGCAUGAUCCAUGGCAGCUGGACCCUAACUUUUAAUCAAGUCCCCCACAUUAAACUUAAGAGAACUACUGCAUAGAUUCAUUCCUUCACUCACUAAAUAGUCAAUGUCAAUAUGUGUCCAAAUUCAAUACGUCCCCUAACUGGACUGCUUUAGAAGUUAUUAACUACCAUACACCGACUGCAUUCCAUGUGCUAUAUAAACUGAGGUAAAGCACUUUAUAUAUAUUUGAAUUAAUUCUGUACAACAAUCCCUAAAGGUUUUAAGGCUCUUUUUUUAAAAUUUUACUUAUUUUUUUUUUUUUCGAGACAGAGUCUUGCUCUGUUGCCCAGGCUGGAGUGCAGUGCCGUGAUCUUGGCUCGCUGCAACCUCUGCCUCCCAGGCUCAAGCGUUUCUGAUGCCUCAGCCUCUUGAGUAGCUGGGACUACAGGUGUGUGAGACCAAACCCGGCCAAUUUCUGCAUUUUUGGUAGAGACAGGGUUUUGCCAUGUUGGCCAGGCUGGUCUCAAACUCCAGACUUCAAGUGAUACACUUGCCUCAGCAUCCCAAAGUGCUGGGAUUAUAGGUGUGAGCCACACCUGGCAAGGCGCCGUUUAAUAGAUAAUAGAGUGAGUAGACUGUCUAAGGUCAUCCAGUUAUUGAAUAGUCUUAUUCCUGAAACCCAGGUCUGAUGCUAAAACCUGUGAUCUUAAUUGGUAUAUUAUUUUGCCUCACUUAAAUCUGGAGUAUUCCCACAAAAGCAAAUUCCCUUCUACACAAAGGAAGCAACUAACGGAAUGCAUUACGUAAUUUUCAAUAUGAUGGCUAAAAACACUCUAUACCAAUCUAAGAGAUUCUGUCCUCCCAGAGCAUUUUGUUCCGCUCCCUUAUGUGCAGUUUUUUCCUUUCACUUAUCUUUCAUGAUCAAAUAUAAGUCUAGGCUAGGAGGAGUAUAUGAGGUUGGCAGUCUUGAGAAUUUUCCUUUUGUGAUUAUGAAGUAAAUUCCACAAACACUUAUCUAUCCAUUAGACAGAGGAUGUAUCUAAUGUACUAAGUGUUAAGUAUAAUCUUGAUUUUGUAAUUUUUAAUAGGCUCUGCUUAAUGCUACCAAAAAGCUAUCACAAAAACACCAGGACCAAUUAAGACUUGCAUGAGAAUUUCAGUGAGAAAAAUAACAAUGCCUAAAUUGGAAUGUGACCAGAUGGCCAACAGUUGCCUUGGUAUUUGCUUUGAUAACAUCAAGAUUCAUCUGUAUUUGAAUAGCAGGGCCCACACAUCUUUCAACAAUGUCUGCAGGGUGCCAGGAGUUGAAACUCAUAAACUAUGCUGACAUCAGUACACUUUACUGCAGAAAUACAUUGCAUCAGCUCCAAGAAUAGGCAAAGUAGCGGCAACACUUUAUUAAAGGUAGUCAGUCUAUGUUGCCAACCCAAGUCACUAACACAUACUCUAUACACACAUGAUUAAAUGCUACCCUCCUCUUUGCAGGACACCAGAGAGGGGUAAGCAUGCUGAGAAGUGAGAUGGAUUUAACCAGCAAAUCAUGGAAAAGGUGCGUAUACUUGGCGUUUGAGAAGGCUUAGUCAUGACUGGAAAAGUAUGAACACUGUGACAUAUCCUUGCAAAAAAAAAAUGUUCAACUUAAGCCUCUAGACUAAUUUCUGGUUUACAAGAAGAAAAAAGGGGGGCCCAUUUCCAAAAAGACUCCUGGCUUGAACUCUUCAAAAUGCCAAUGUCACAGGGGGAAAAAGAUGGGGGAACUCCACUACAUUAAAGCUGAAGAAAAAUUUUGACUGGAUCCUGAUUUCUUUUUUUUGCAAGAUUGGGAAGGAGAAGGUAUAAAAGAUAUUCCUGGGUAAAUUAGGAAAAUUAGCACUUGGGCUAGAUUUUAAACAUUACAAAACAGCUGUAAUAAUGAUAUUGUGUUUUGCUAGAGAACUUCAAAAUUCUCAGGAAAUUCAUGCUCAAAGUCUUAAGGGUGUCUGCCUAACAAUAAGUGUCUGCAACUUUUUACGACAAUGAAAAAAUGAGGAGGAAUGAAAAAAAUAUGGCAAAAUGUUAACUGCUGCAUCUAGAUGAUGGGUAUAUGAAUAUUCAUUAAAUUAUUUAAUUCUUUCAGCUUUUAAAUAUAUGAACACUUUCAUAAUAAAACAUUGGGGAAAAACAAUCAUGUCAGAAAGACUUCACAGGGAAAACGUAAAAAAAGGCUGAGUAGCAGGCGCUCAGCUGAAUUUCUGAUAAAUUGAAGGUCUCUAAAACUUGGCUGGAAGUGUCUUGGGCAUCCAAGAGACACCCGAGAUAUUCAAACUUUCAGUGCAGACGUGGUAGUGAAGUUAAAAACAUAAGCGGCUAUUAUAUAUAUAACAUACUGAUUGUCAAAAAGACGUGCAAAAAAUGCUAAACUCAGAGGAAUUACUUUCUGCUGGGGAGAAUCUGGAAACACAUCUCCACGAAUAACAGAAUCAGACAGAAUCACAAAAGGUGAGUGCUACAACAGA